rnacentral:rRNA from 1 species
CUACGUAGGGGGCAAGCGUUGUCCGGAAUUAUUGGGCGUAAAGCGCAUGUAGGCGGGUUGGUAAGUCGGUCGUGAAAAUGCGGUGCUUAAAGCCGUAUGGUGUUCGUAAAUGCUGAACUUGAGUGCAGGAGAGGAAACGGGACCUCCCAGCGUUGCGGUGAAGUGCGUAGAUAUUGGGAAGAACACCGGUGGCGAAGGCGCCUUUCUGGACUGUGUCUGACGCUCAGAUGCGAAAGCCAGGGUAGCGAACGGGAUUAGAUACCCCGGUAGUCCUGGCCGUAAACGAUUGGUACUAGGUGUGGGAGGUAUCGACUCCUUCCGUGCCGGAGUUAACGCAAUAAGUAUUCCGCCUGGGGAGUACGGCCGCAAGGUUGAAACUCAAAUGAAUUGGCGGGG